CGAACGGGUGAGUAAUACAUAAGCAACCUACCCAUAUGACUGGGAUAACAGUUGGAAACGACUGCUAAUACCGGAUAGGUGUUCGGGGGACAUCCCCUGGAUAUUAAAGCUGGAAUACAGCACAAAUGGAUGGGCUUAUGGCGCAUUAGCUAGUUGGCGGGGUAACGGCCCACCAAGGCGAUGAUGCGUAGCCGACCUGAGAGGGUGACCGGCCACACUGGGACUGAGACACGGCCCAGACUCCUACGGGAGGCAGCAGUAGGGAAUUUUCGGCAAUGGGCGCAAGCCUGACCGAGCAACGCCGCGUGAGUGAAGAAGGCCUUCGGGUUGUAAAGCUCUGUUGUAAGGGAAGAAUGACCAAGAUAGGGAAUGAUCUUGGAGUGACGGUACCUUACCAGAAAGCCACGGCUAACUACGUGCCAGCAGCCGCGGUAAUACGUAGGUGGCAAGCGUUAUCCGGAAUUAUUGGGCGUAAAGGGUGCGUAGGCGGUUUGAUAAGUCUGAGGUGAAAGUUCGGGGCUCAACUCCGAAUUGCCUUAGAAACUGUCAGACUUGAGUGUAGGAGAGGGCAAUGGAAUUCCAUGUGUAGCGGUAAAAUGCGUAGAUAUAUGGAGGAACACCAGUGGCGAAGGCGGUUGCCUGGCCUAUAACUGACGCUGAGGCACGAAAGCGUGGGGAGCAAAUAGGAUUAGAUACCCCAGUAGUCCACGCUGUAAACGAUGAUUACUAAGUGUUGGAGCAAUUCAGUGCUGCAGUUAACGCAAUAAGUAAUCCGCCUGGGGAGUAUGCACGNCAGUGUGAAACUCAAAGGAAUUGACGGGGGCCCGCA
rnacentral:rRNA from 1 species